GCACGAGCUGUAAUUGGAAAAUAAUAUCAUUUAGGAUUCAAUAAAAUCGUCGAAAGUAUUAGUAGAGUACAUUUGUUGACAGAAAGUAAGACAGAAAUAUUUUGGCAAUUGUUUGAAAUGCUCAAAGUUUUCGCCGACUAGUGGUAAAAUCGAAGGAUAUUUGCGUAGUUGAGAAAAGGUAACGUACCUUUUCAAACGGUUAUGCCCAUGCCAGUCGACAAAGACAUAAAAGGCAAACGGAACACCGAUGCUGGCAAAAUUGUCGGAAACACCCGGGAAAUGGCAGUCUUGAGUCUAGAGUCCAGUCGAAUUCGCCUAGAACAAUACAAUUUGCAGGUCAACGGGAGAAAGUCUUUCGCAAUUGUUGUUUGAAAUAAAUCAGCUUGGCUUCAUUAAGCGACAGGAAUAAGUGACAAGCCUGAGCAAGAAAAUGAACGCGUCUACGACAGAAAACAUAAAAAUGCGACAGGGUAUCAAAAUCGACGAUACGUGAUGAUCGGAUACGUGAUUCGGACGUCGCACCGGGAGUAGAUAAGGAAUUGGUACCGAAAUUUGAAAGCCCCUACGUUAUUAAAAA